AGAGUUUGAUCGUGGCUCAGAUUGAACGCUGGCGGCAUGCCUUACACAUGCAAGUCGAACGGUAACAGGUCUUCGGAUGCUGACGAGUGGCGAACGGGUGAGUAAUACAUCGGAACGUGCCCGAUUGUGGGGGAUAACGGAGCGAAAGCUUUGCUAAUACCGCAUACGAUCUACGGAUGAAAGCAGGGGACCGCAAGGCCUUGCGCGGACGGAGCGGCCGAUGGCAGAUUAGGUAGUUGGUGGGAUAAAAGCUUACCAAGCCGACGAUCUGUAGCUGGUCUGAGAGGACGACCAGCCACACUGGGACUGAGACACGGCCCAGACUCCUACGGGAGGCAGCAGUGGGGAAUUUUGGACAAUGGGCGAAAGCCUGAUCCAGCAAUGCCGCGUGCAGGAUGAAGGCCUUCGGGUUGUAAACUGCUUUUGUACGGAACGAAAAGCUUCUCUCUAAUACAGGGGGGCCAUGACGGUACCGUAAGAAUAAGCACCGGCUAACUACGUGCCAGCAGCCGCGGUAAUACGUAGGGUGCAAGCGUUAAUCGGAAUUACUGGGCGUAAAGCGUGCGCAGGCGGUGAUGUAAGACAGAGGUGAAAUCCCCGGGCUCAACCUGGGAACUGCCUUUGUGACUGCAUCGCUGGAGUGCGGCAGAGGGGGAUGGAAUUCCGCGUGUAGCAGUGAAAUGCGUAGAUAUGCGGAGGAACACCGAUGGCGAAGGCAAUCCCCUGGGCCUGCACUGACGCUCAUGCACGAAAGCGUGGGGAGCAAACAGGAUUAGAUACCCUGGUAGUCCACGCCCUAAACGAUGUCAACUGGUUGUUGGGAAUUCACUUUCUCAGUAACGAAGCUAACGCGUGAAGUUGACCGCCUGGGGAGUACGGCCGCAAGGUUAAAACUCAAAGGAAUUGACGGGGACCCGCACAAGCGGUGGAUGAUGUGGUUUAAUUCGAUGCAACGCGAAAAACCUUACCCACCUUUGACAUGUACGGAACCCUUUAGAGAUAGAGGGGUGCUCGAAAGAGAGCCGUAACACAGGUGCUGCAUGGCCGUCGUCAGCUCGUGUCGUGAGAUGUUGGGUUAAGUCCCGCAACGAGCGCAACCCUUGCCAUUAGUUGCUACGAAAGGGCACUCUAAUGGGACUGCCGGUGACAAACCGGAGGAAGGUGGGGAUGACGUCAAGUCCUCAUGGCCCUUAUAGGUGGGGCUACACACGUCAUACAAUGGCCGGUACAAAGGGCAGCCAACCCGCGAGGGGGAGCCAAUCCCAUAAAGCCGGUCGUAGUCCGGAUCGCAGUCUGCAACUCGACUGCGUGAAGUCGGAAUCGCUAGUAAUCGUGGAUCAGCAUGUCACGGUGAAUACGUUCCCGGGUCUUGUACACAUUGCUCGUCACACCAUGGGAGCGGGUUCUGCCAGAAGUAGGUAGCCUAACCGCAAGGAGGGCGCUUAUCAUGGCAGGGUUCGUGACUGGGGUGAAGUCGUAACAAGGUAGCCGUAG
rnacentral:rRNA from 1 species